UACGGAGGAUGCGAGCGUUAUCCGGAUUUAUUGGGUUUAAAGGGUGCGUAGGCGGGACCUUAAGUCAGCGGUAAAAUUGCGGUGCUCAACGCCGUAGAGCCGUUGAAACUGGGGGGCUUGAGUAUGUUUGAGGCAGGCGGAAUGCGUGGUGUAGCGGUGAAAUGCAUAGAUAUCACGCAGAACUCCGAUUGCGAAGGCAGCAUACCGGCGCCCAACUGACGCUGAAGCACGAAAGCGUGGGUAUCGAACAGG
rnacentral:rRNA from 1 species